AGGCUGCGUUAAGCCUCGGGGAGUUGUCAAUAAAGCGUUGAUCCGAGGAUGUCCGAAUGGGGAAACCUGGCACCUGUUAUGGGGUGUUACCCUUCAGUGAAUUCAUAGCUGUUGUGGGGGUUUACGCGGGGAAGUGAAACAUCUCAGUACCCGUAGGAGAAGAAAAUAAAAUAUGAUUCUGCUAGUAGUGGCGAACGAACGUGGAUGAGGCUAAACCGUGUGCAUGUGAUACUUGGUAGGGGUUGUGUGUGCGGUGUUGUGGGCCCCAGCGUGCGGUGACUACCAUCAUCGUGCUUGUGUGUUGUUGUUAGGUGAAGUGGUGUGGAAACGCCUACCGUAGAGGGUGAUAGUCCCGUAGUUGAAGGCUUCAGCACAUGGGUUGUUGGGUUGCCCGAGUAGCAGCGGGCUCGUGGAAUCUGCUGUGAAUCUGCCGGGACCACCCGGUAAGCCUAAAUACUCAGUGUGACCGAUAGUGUAUGAGUACCGUGAGGGAAUGGUGAAAAGUACCCCGGGAGGGGAGUGAAAUAGUUCCUGAAACCAUGUGCUUACAAUCCGUCAGAGCACUUUUUUGUGUGUGAUGGCGUGCCUUUUGAAGAAUGAGCCUGCGAGUCAGCGGCAUGUCGCGAGGUUAACCCGUGUGGGGUAGCCGUAGGGAAACCGAAUCCUAAUGGGGUGUUGAGUGGCAUGUCCUGGACCCGAAGCGGGGUGAUCUACCCAUGGCCAGUGUGAAGCAGUAGUAAGAUGCUGUGGAGGCGCGAACCCACGUAGGUUGAAAACUGCGGGGAUGAGUUGUGGGUAGGGGUGAAAGGCCAAUCAAACUCCGUGAUAGCUGGUUCUCCCCGAAAUGCAUUUAGGUGCAGCGUCGCAUUAGCUUGGUGGAGGUAGAGCUACUGGUUGGUUGAGCGGGACUACAAUCUUAGCAAUGUCAGCCAAACUCCGAAUGCCACUAAUUUGUGUUGUGCGGCAGUGAGACUGUGGGGGAUAAGCUUCAUAGUCGAGAGGGAAACAGCCCAGAUCGCCGGUUAAGGCCCCUAAGGGUGUGCUAAGUGGAAAAGGAUGUGGGAUCGCGAAGACAGCCAGGAGGUUGGCUUAGAAGCAGCCAUCCUUGAAAGAGUGCGUAAUAGCUCACUGGUCGAGUGGUCCUGCGCCGACAAUGUAGUGGGGCUCAAGCACACCGCCGAAGCCGCGGCAAACAUUUUGUUUGGGUAGGGGAGCGUCGUGCAUGUGUUGAAGCGUUACCGUAAGGAGGCGUGGAGUGUGUGCGAGUGAGAAUGCAGGCAUGAGUAACGAAUUGGAAGGUGAGAAUCCUUCCCGCCGGAUGACUAAGGGUUCCUGGGUCAAGUUCGUCUUCCCAGGGUGAGUCGGGACCUAAGGCGAGGCCGACAGGCGUAGUCGAUGGACAACCAGUUGAUAUUCUGGUACCCGUAUAUCCGCGCCCAUGAUAAAGCACUGAUACUAACCACCGCGGAUACGACUGGUGUGUUCUUUGAACACGUUGGUUGUUGAUGUCGUGGGGCCUGAUGUGUGGUUCAAGUGAUGGGGUGACACAGUGUAGUAGCCAUGCCGCUUAGUGGAUUGUUGGUGUAAGCGUGUGAGGUGGUGUGUAGGCAAAUCCGCACACCGUGUAAGCCUGAGGCGUGAUGCGUAGCCCAAUUGGGGUGAAGUUGGUGAUCUAGUACUGUCGAGAAAAGCCUCUAGCGAUGUGGAUGUAUGGCCCGUACCCUAAACCGACACAGGUGGUCAGGUUGAAAAUACUAAGGCGUUCGGGUGAACUGUGGUUAAGGAACUCGGCAAAAUGCCCCCGUAACUUCGGGAGAAGGGGGACCACAC
rnacentral:rRNA from 1 species